rnacentral:rRNA from 1 species
AAGUACUGCNCGUAGUGUGGGACAACGUUUCGAAAGGAACGCUAAUACCGCAUACGUCCUACGGGAGAAAGCAGGGGACCUUCGGGCCUUGCGCUAUCAGAUGAGCCUAGGUCGGAUUAGCUAGUUGGUGAGGUAAUGGCUCACCAAGGCGACGAUCCGUAACUGGUCUGAGAGGAUGAUCAGUCACACUGGAGCUGAGACACGGUCCAGACUCCUACGGGAGGCAGCAGUG